AAAGAUCGUAAAGUAUUAAAAAAUAUGGAUGUCGUUUUUCCUUUAAAAAAAAAACAUAAAACAUUUGAAUUGAUAAUUGUUCUCAUAUAUAUUCAGCUAUUGUAAUUUUUUCCCCUCUUCUUCUUUUUGAAAGUCAUUUUGUGAUCUAUUUACAGUACUCAAUCCACUUGCUUCUGCAUCCAAUUCAUUUGAUUGUUGAGGCGACCUGGCUUGAGUCUUUAAACCAAAAUUGAAGUUGCGUUGUGGGGAAUUGAUAAGAGAACAAAUGCACAUGCAUCCACAUGACUACAUGAGACAUCCACAUGCUGCAUGGCCCAUGCAAUUACAGGGCUUUGCGUGAAUCUGAUGAAACCAUAAAUACACAGGCACAAAAUUGAUACUAACUUUGCCUCCAAGUUUACGUGAGAGCAAUCAAUAGUGCCCGAAAAUUGAUUAGAAAUACAAAUAUGGGCAUGAAUAAACUAAAAUGCAUGCAUCAUGGGUUCAUGAAGUAAUAUUAAUUCUCAUAUUAUAGCUAUAGGAAUCAAUUUGGUACUUUACUGGUUCCCCACUCCUGGUACUCUCCAAUAAGUCGUGAGAGAAAGCACAUGUAUGGUUACUUCAUUUAAACAUUACAUAAUAUAAUUUCUUUGAUUAUUAAUAUAUGAAAGAUUUUAACUUUUUUCAAAGUAUUGUCUCUAAAAAGGGAUUACUGACAAUACUUCCUUAAUUGUUUUUAGGUAUUUCUCGUUUAGACUCCGUUUGGUACAACUUAUUAAAUAGAGCUUAUACCAAUAGAGUUUUUGGACAAAAAGUCAUUGGGUGUUUGGUUGUCAAUUAAAAAAGUACUUUUGAACCAUUAAACGGUUUGGUUGUGUAAAAUUAAAAGUGCUUUUGUGUAAUUAAAUUACCAAAAAGGAUAUGUAUUCAUAAUUAUUUAACAUGUAACAAAAUGCACCUAAGCUAUCAAUUAAUAAGAAAAAAUCAGUUCAAUCAUUUCUUUAAUUUUCAAAAUUAAAAAUUUCAUAAUUGAUAUAUUCUCUUAAACAAAUAAUACUAUCUAAAUUAAAAUGAUAAUUAAUAAUAUAACUGAAAUGUUAAUGGAACAUGAGAAUUGUCGUAUUACUUGACAUCCUCCUCAUAAAAAACGUUGGCUAUGACUAUGAUUACUCUCUCAAGUGUUGGUUAUGUAUUAGAGAUUGCAAAAUUAAAGUGUUGGUAUUUAAAAAAAACAAAAAGAGAUAAAGUGAAGUGGCAGCAGCAAUAUGUUUAUAUGGCCUCAACAAUUUUUGUUGGAUAGGUUUUAUACAAAGGGUAUUAUGUAAUUAAUUAAAUAUGUUAAGGAUAUUUUUGAUAUUAUAUAUUUUUUUGAAAAAGCUCUCUAACCUCUACUUCCAAAAGCUAAUUUACUAGUAUAAGUAAAUUAGCUUAUUUAAGCUAAAAAAACUCAACUAAAAAAAUAACCAAACACUAUAAAAAAUUUUAAAAAGUGCUUAUGGGAUUAAAUAAGUACUUAUGUCUUUUAAAUAAGUCAUACCAAAUAGGUACUUAGUAAUUAAUAAUAAUAGUAAUAAAAUAAUUCUUCAUUGCACCCUAAAAAUGCUAGGUAUGUAAAACUUUCAUGACAAGCAUCUUUGACCUAAAAUUUACAUGAAUGGAAGUGUAAACAAGAGUUGCAACACCAUUUUCAUAGCAUAAAAAGCCAAAGAUGAUGUUAAUUGCAACACCAUUUUCAUAGCAUAAAAGCCAAAGAUGAUGUUAACUUAACACUCAAAUUUAAUGACAUAUAAAUAGAAUUAAUUUACUCAUCAAAAGCUCCAGACUCAACUUCUCUUGAGAAUAGACCAUUUAACAACUUUCGUGAAAAGAAAAUUAUUCUUCUUACACAAAACCCAAACAGACCCAGACAGAGACCCCAAAUGGCUCAAAUUAAAUUAGUGAGAACUCGCUCAAAAUCAUUAUUGAUUUGUAAAGCAAGCAUUGGAGCUCUUCGUAAGAUUCUCUCCUUUUGCCACUUCCCGGUGGGGGAGGGGUGGGGCCAAACGCUACCGUUUUCUACACACCUAAAGCUACUUUUGGAGCCUCGUUUGGGCUCAUUUGACCGUUUUAGUAAUAAUUAAUACGAAUAUCCCGACUUAUUAUUAUUAUUAUUAUUAUUAUUAUUAUUAUUAUUCAUUUUAUGGAGUUGGUAAAGUGAAGAGUGAUGAUUCAUACUGGAUUAUUUCAAUAAGCAUUAAUAUAACACGCUCAAAUAUUCAACAUUUUUCAGUUCUUACCCAUUUUACUUCUAUAAUUAGAAGCAUUUUCAAUUUGUAGUGCUUUCCAAAUGCACGUUUAUUGUGUUUAAAUGCAAUUUUAAAGAUGUUUUCAUGAAUUGAAUUAACAUAUAAAAAUAUUUCUUAGGAAAAAAGAUACUCGUAAUUAAUUCAAUUAAGAUGCCCUAAACCUUUGGUUCACGCAUGCCGGUCAAAAUUGAGCUACUGAUUUUCAAAGACAGAUUGUUAUUAGAUUAACCCCACAUUAUACACAUUAGUUAAUUUCCGACAAAUGACUAAUCUAGCCCUUUCUAGUAACACCAGCACUCUAUUGUAUUGAAGUUGUUUCUAAUUCGAUCGAUCGUGCCAGCCAUGCCGAUAACAUUUUCAUUUUCCAUAUAAAAUAAUUUAUACAUGUGAAAUGUCAAAUUACAGAGACUCCAGCUACGUCUCAUUUUUUUCGAUAGAUAUGCUUGGUAUCAUCUUUGCAAGACCCCACGUAGAGCAUAUCAAAAUAUUCUAAUAUUCAAGUAUGUGACAUGCCAUCUUCUAGUGACUAUAAAUCUAUAUUAUAUAAUUUUUGGAUCCCAAGAGAAAAAAAUAUAUAUAUACAAAUUAUUAAACUACACCAUCAAUCUCAUUCUCAUAUACCAUCAAUCUUGAUAAAUAUUUUAUUUUCAAUAAUCAAUGAAAUAUCAAGGUCAAUUUAUAUUAUAAGAUCCUUAAGACUUUAUAGAUUUUGAUACAGCUUAUUGGUAAAUAGUGUGCGUACGUACAUAAUAACUAAUUGAAACUUGAAUGAGUCAUUUUCAUCGAGGUGAGAUGGUGGGCUUCGCAUUAAAUUUCUUAUUUCUAGGGUUUUAUAAUUUUUCCCAAUUGCAUUAGGUGUGUUAGGUUGAUAGUUAAUUACCUCCUACAUCAAUUCAUUUGAAAUUUUUUCUUACCUAUUAAAACUUCCACUAUAGUCAACCACUUCAUCUCAUCUCCUUAAAUAAUUUCUGCCUAGACUAAAGUGGAUUGUCUUUUAUGCAAUUAUGAAGAUCUUAUAAACAAUAUGGUAUCAUUUGUCAAUUAUGACAUUGUUUGAUAUUAAGAUAUGGUAACUUUUAAACUAUA
rnacentral:lncRNA from 1 species